rnacentral:misc_RNA from 1 species
GAUGAAGAACGCAGCGAAACGCGAUAGUUAAUGUGAAUUGCAGAAUUCAGUGAAUCAUCGAGUCUUUGAACGCAUCUUGCGCUCCUUGGUAUUCCGAGGAGCAUGCCUGUUUGAGUGUCAUGAAUCCCUCAGCCCCCAUCGUUUUUUGUUAAGCGAUUGGCUUGGGUCUGGAUUUGGGCGUCUUGCCAAUGCGCUUCUUCAAGUGCUUGGCUCGCCUUAAAGAGAUUAGCUGGACCCUAUUCCGAGCUGGUUCAACUCGACGUGAUAAUUUCAUUCGUCGAGGUAUGGUCGGCCUUACGGCUGAUCAGCCAGGUGUAGGAAUCCGGUCUGCUUCCAACCUUCGUCUGAAGCCAGCAAUGGUGUGAAGCGGAAUUUUUUAAUGCUCUGGCCUCAAAUCAGGUAGGAUUACCCGCUGAACUUAAGCAUAUCAAUAAGCGGAGGA